GAUGAACGAUGGCGGCGUGCCUAAUACAUGCAAGUCGAGCGAACGGACGAGAAGCUUGCUUUUCUGAUGUUAGCGGCGGACGGGUGAGUAACACGUGGAUAACCUACCUAUAAGACUGGGAUAACUUCGGGAAACCGGAGCUAAUACCGGAUAAUAUUUUGAACCGCAUGGUUCAAAAGUGAAAGACUGUCUUGCUGUCACUUAUAGAUGGAUCCGCGCUGCAUUAGCUAGUUGGUAAGGUAACGGCUUACCAAGGCAACGAUGCAUAGCCGACCUGAGAGGGUGAUCGGCCACACUGGAACUGAGACACGGUCCAGACUCCUACGGGAGGCAGCAGUAGGGAAUCUUCCGCAAUGGGCGAAAGCCUGACGGAGCAACGCCGCGUGAGUGAUGAAGGUCUUCGGAUCGUAAAACUCUGUUAUUAGGGAAGAACAUAUGUGUAAGUAACUGUGCACAUCUUGACGGUACCUAAUCAGAAAGCCACGGCUAACUACGUG
rnacentral:rRNA from 1 species